UACGAAGGGGCUAGCGUUGUUCGGAAUCACUGGGCGUAAAGCGCACGUAGGCGGAUCUUUAAGUCAGGGGUGAAAUCCCGAGGCUCAACCUCGGAACUGCCUUUGAUACUGGGGAUCUCGAGUCCGGGAGAGGUGAGUGGAACUGCGAGUGUAGAGGUGAAAUUCGUAGAUAUUCGCAAAGAACACCAGUGGCGAAGGCGGCUCACUGGCCCGGAACUGACGCUGAGGUGCGAA
rnacentral:rRNA from 1 species